UGCCUACGGGGGGCAGCAGUGAGGAAUAUUGGUCAAUGGGCUUACGCCUGAACCAGCCAAGUCGCGUGAGGGAAGACUGCCCUAUGGGUUGUAAACCUCUUUUGUCAGGGAGCAACGCCGGCUACGUGUAGCCGGACUGAGAGUACCUGAAGAAAAAGCAUCGGCUAACUCCGUGCCAGCAGCCGCGGUAAUACGGAGGAUGCGAGCGUUAUCCGGAUUUAUUGGGUUUAAAGGGUGCGUAGGCGGAAUGCCAAGUCAGCGGUAAAAUGUCCGGGCUCAACCCGGGCCGGCCGUUGAAACUGGGG
rnacentral:rRNA from 1 species